rnacentral:rRNA from 1 species
ACGAACGCUUGGCGGCGUGGAUAGACAUGCGAGUCGAGCGAUCAUUAGCGGGUAGCAAUAUUCGUUAGUGGGAGCGGCGCAAGGGUGCGUAACACGUGGGUAAUCUGCCAUGAAGUUUGGGAUAACUCCGCGAAAGCGGGACUAAUACCGGAUGUGACAGCCUGGAGGCAUCUUUAGGUUGUUGAAGUUGGGGACCGUAAGGGCCUGACGCUUCAUGAUGAGCCCGCGGCCAAUCAGCUAGUUGGUGAGGUAACGGCUCACCAAUGCUAAGACGGGUAGCUGGUCUGAGAGGACGACCAGCCACACUGGAACUGAGACACGGUCCAGACACCUACGGGUGGCAGCAGUCGAGAAUUUUUCACAAUGGGCGCAAGCCUGAUGGAGCGACGCCGCGUGGGGGAUGAAUGGCUUCGGCCCGUAAACCCCUGUCAUUUGCGAUCAAACCUUGCUAUUUAAAAGAUGGCGAGCUGAUAGUAGCGAAAGAGGAAGGGACGGCUAACUCUGUGCCAGCAGCCGCGGUAAUACAGAGGUCCCAAGCGUUGUUCGGAUUCACUGGGCGUAAAGGGUGCGUAGGUGGUGGGGUAAGUCGGAUGUGAAAUCUCGGAGCUCAACUCCGAAAUGGCAUUGGAAACUACCCUGCUUGAGGGUCGGAGGGGGGACUGGAAUUCUCGGUGUAGCAGUGAAAUGCGUAGAUAUCGAGAGGAACACCAGUGGCGAAGGCGAGUCCCUGGACGACUCCUGACACUGAGGCACGAAAGCUAGGGGAGCAAACAGGAUUAGAUACCCUGGUAGUCCUAGCCGUAAACGGUGCACGUUUGCUGUAAGAGGAAUCGACCCCUUUUGUGGCGUAGCUAACGCGUUAAACGUGCCGCCUGGGAAGUACGGUCGCAAGAUUAAAACUCAAAGAAAUUGACGGGGGCCUGCACAAGCGGUGGAGUAUGUGGCUCAAUUCGACGCGACGCGAAGAACCUUACCAGGGCUUGACAUGUAGGGAAAAGCCGUGGAGACACGGUGUCCGCAAGGGCCCUACACAGGUGUUGCAUGGCUGUCGUCAGCUCGUGUCGUGAGAUGUUGGGUUAAGUCCCGCAACGAGCGCAACCCUUGUCCUAUGUUGCCAGCGGUUCAAGCCGGGGACUCAUAGGAGACUGCCGGGGUCAACUCGGAGGAAGGUGGGGACGACGUCAAGUCAGUAUGGCCCUUAUGUCCUGGGCUGCAAACAUGCUACAAUGGCCGGUACAGAGGGCUGCAAACCCGCGAGGGGGAGCCAAUCCCAAAAAGCCGGUCUCAGUUCGGAUCGGGGUCUGCAACUCGACCCCGUGAAGUCGGAGUCGCUAGUAAUCGCGAAUCAGCAACGUCGCGGUGAUACGUUCCCGGGCCAUGUACACACCG